GGGCGCGCGUGCUGGGUGCUGCCCAGCAACCAAAGGCCAUGCGGGGCUCGUCCCUCAGAUGCCGGUGACCUUGACUGAAGUCACCUGCCUUCUCUAGCUUCCAGUCCUUUAAAACGAGGGUUUGGACCCGGUGCCUUCUGAAGCCGGUGCUUCACUGAACUCCCGAGGGCGAUCCAAACUGCCUAAGCAUCCCGAGUCGAGCACCCGCGCCUGCGUUCCUGAGUCAUCCAGCGCCCUGCAGCGUUUUUCAUGCACAUGGUCCGAAUAUAUCAGACUGCAGAGAGAGGCUGUAUUGUAACUGGCCAGCUUAUAAUACUCUAAAUAAUAAUAUAAAAGGUAGUUUUAUAUUUAACAAAUAUUGCUCACUGACAGUGUGCCCGGAACCAAAGCCUAUUGUUUCAUUGAAUGUACACACCCUUGGGACUGGAAUGAGUAGAAAACAUUGUUAUUCCUGUUUUACAGAUGGAGAAACUGAGACUCUUGACUAUCAGUAAGUGGCUAAGUCAGAAUUUAAAUCAGGUUUUGUCUGAUAUCAAAUCCAGUUGGAUUUUCUACUCUAAUCGGUUUUUCUCAUUAAACUUCAGACUUAACGUUUCCCAUCA